rnacentral:lncRNA from 1 species
ACUAUUCCUGCAUCCUGGGUUGGUGAGAUGGAGGAAGAGGGGGGGAUGUCGGGAGUACGGAUGGUGUUUUCACCGGUAGAUAUGGAGCAGGGGAGCAUCGGGUGAGUCUCCUGUUUUUUUUUCUGUCUGGGUUUAGAAUUUGAGUGUAUUACAUGUUUUUAUUUUAUUCUUUCAUGGGGUCUAAUUUUAAGGGGUUUAAGGGAUUUUGUGAAGAGGAGGGCGGUUUUUAAUUAUUUGGAAGGUGUGGGGUUUGAUUUUUGUUUUUUUUACAGGAGGUUCACCUGAGGGAUGGAGGGGAUGUUAGUAGGUUUAAGAGGGAGUGGGACAAGGGGGAGUCGGUUUGGGGUAUUGGGGGGGUGCACUCAUCGGGGGUAGGGAUUUUGUGUGGGCACAGGGAGGUAAAAGUGGAGGAUUCUUUUGUGGUAAUGCAGGGGAGGGUUAUAGGGGUGGAUGUCACGAUAAGGGAUUGUAAAUUUAGAUUAGUAGUGGUGUUUGGGCCACAGGUCGUGGCAGACAGGAGGGAGAUGGUGGACUGUCUGACGCCCCUGUGUGUCACAAAUAGGAAAUUAGUGAUAGGGGGGGAUUUUAAUACAGAUUUAGGAAUAGGGGGGGAUAGCAGUGCAGGCGCCAUUACCGGGCUAAUGGCUUGCCAUGGUCUGGUUGAUGGUGGUCUGCACACUACUCGGAAAAUGGCCGGUCCUACAUGGCGCAACUCCAGGGGGGUUGAGCGGAGGCUCGACUAUAUUUUUGUACCCAGGUGUUUGGGUAAGUUGUCUGGGCGGCUGUUGCCUGUUUUCUUUUCGGAUCACGACGGGGUGCUCCUGCAGGUGGGGUCGCCAGUCUGCCUCUUUGGUAGGGGGUACUGGAAGUUAGAUCGGGAUGUGCUGGAGGAGCAGGCUUUUGUUGACGGGUUUUAUGGUUUCUUUUGGAGGCUUGAAGGCCUCCGGUCCAUGUGCGAGGGGGUGUUAGAGUGGUGGGAAUUAGUUAAGGUGAGGAUUAGGGCUUUUAUAAUAGGGUAUUGCAAGAGGAAAAAAAGGGAGGAGAGGAGGGAGGUGGAUCGUAUCCAAAGGUUAAUUGAACUCGAGUACGAGGCAGGCAACCUCGGCGGGUCGUUUGACUGGGAGAGAUCCGCAACCCUAAAGGCGCAGCUCAGGGAGUUGCAGGAGCGGAAGGCUCGAGCUUUCCUGGAGCGUGCGCAUAGUGGCUUUCUAGAACACAAUGAGACUUGUUCUGCUAUGUUCUUUAAGUCGGUUAGGGCCAGACAGAGUAGGAAGGUAAUGCAUGGCGUUAGGGAAGAAAAUGGUAGUAUAGUUAGAGAACCAGAGGAUAUGGUCAGGGUGACAACUGAUCAUUUCCAAGGUUUAUUUAAGGAAAGGGAUAUAGAUGUAGAGCAGGGAAAUGUGUUUUUAGAACACUUGUCCAGGCGGUUGCCGGAGGACAUUAGAGAAGUGAUGGAGGCCCAGAUUUCACUAGCGCUCUUAGGAGGAUGGGAAAAGGGAAGGUGCCUGGAAUGGAUGGGCUGCCGGCUGAGUUUUAUCUCAAGUUUUGGGGUAUACUUGGACCAGUGGUCCUCGAAGUCUUGAAGGCCAU